rnacentral:tRNA from 1 species
GAGUAGUCGCCGGUCUGACGGAUAUUAUUGAUGUUAAUAAAAAUGAAUUUUUAUUCACUACUCU